AUACGUAGGGAGCGAGCGUUGUCCGGAAUUACUGGGUGUAAAGGGAGCGUAGGCGGGAGUGCAAGUCAGAUGUGAAAUGCAUGGGCUUAACCCAUGAGCUGCAUUUGAAACUGCAUUUCUUGAGUGAAGUAGAGGUAAACGGAAUUCCUGGUGUAGCGGUGAAAUGCGUAGAUAUCAGGAGGAACACCGGUGGCGAAGGCGGCUUACUGGGCUAUUACUGGCGCUGAGGCUCGAAAGCGUGGGGAGCAAACAGGAUUAGAUGCCCUGGUAGUCCACGCUGUAAACGAUGAUUACUAGGUGUGGGGGGACUGACCCCUUCCGUGCCGCAGUUAACACAAUAAGUAAUCCACCUGGGGAGUACGGCCGCAAGGUUGAAACUCAAAUGAAUUGACGGGG
rnacentral:rRNA from 1 species